rnacentral:rRNA from 1 species
UACGUAGGGGGCUAGCGUUGUCCGGAAUCAUUGGGCGUAAAGCGCGUGUAGGCGGUCCGGUAAGUCCGCUGUGAAAGUCGGGGGCUCAACCCUCGGAUGCCGGUGGAUACUGUCGGGCUUGAGUACGGAAGAGGCGAGUGGAAUUCCUGGUGUAGCGGUGAAAUGCGCAGAUAUCAGGAGGAACACCAAUUGCGAAGGCAGCUCGCUGGGACGGUACUGACGCUGAGACUGCGAAAGCGUGGGGAGCAACAGG